UAACAGAGAGUAGCUUGCUACUCUGCUGACGAGCGGCGGACGGGUGAGUAAUGCUUGGGAAUAUGCCUUAUGGUGGGGGCACAACAGUUGGGAAACGACUGCUAAUACCGCAUGGAUGUCUACGGACCAAAGUGGGGGACCUUCGGGCCUCACGCCAUAAGAUUAGCCCAAGUGGGAUUAGCUAGUUGGUGAGGUAAUGGCUCACCAAGGCGACGAUCCCUAGCUGGUUUGAGAGGAUGAUCAGCCACACUGGGACUGAGACACGGCCCAGACUCCUACGGGAGGCAGCAGUGGGGAAUAUUGCACAAUGGGCGCAAGCCUGAUGCAGCCAUGCCGCGUGUGUGAAGAAGGCCUUCGGGUUGUAAAGCACUUUCAGUAAGGAGGAAAGGUUAAGUGUUAAUAGCGCUUAGCUGUGACGUUACUUACAGAAGAAGCACCGGCUAACUCCGUGCCAGCAGCCGCGGUAAUACGGAGGGUGCGAGCGUUAAUCGGAAUUACUGGGCGUAAAGCGUACGCAGGCGNNUUUGUUAAGCGAGAUGUGAAAGCCCCGGGCUCAACCUGGGAACUGCAUUUCGAACUGGCAAACUAGAGUGUGAUAGA
rnacentral:rRNA from 1 species